GAAUAUCAAUCUGCCCCCUGUCCACUCCUGGUCAGAACUCUCGGCAGCCGCUCUGCGCUGCUGAUCCAUGGGGCAAUCGGCCGCUACGACAAGGUUCAGUCCUGCUCAGCUCCAGCUCCGGUUUUCUCCUUCGCCCAAACUUCGAGUUGGAGGAAAGUAAAAAAAAAGUCUCCGCAGACCUCGGCGAGCCAAUCGCAGGGGAUUUAGCACGUGCAUUGGAGAAUGGAGAGGAAGGCAAUUACAGCCCAAUACAAAUGUCAUUAGUAGCUCGAUCAGAUCAAGAGCGAUCACUGUACAAGUGGGAGAACCGCAGCCUGCGGCAAGCACCGAAGCCAGGCUCGAACCAUGACAACUCAGUACAAGGAGGAGAUCUGCGAGAGACCCGAGUGCAAAAGUAAAUCGCCAACUUUGCUUUCUUCUUACUGCAUCGACAGUAUACUGGGCAGGAGAAGUCCCUGCAAGAUUAGGUGUAUCGGAGCACAAGCAUUGCCGCUUGUCACAGCCAGAAAUGACCCGGACCCAGCGAGUGGAGGCUCGCCCAAGGAAAACAUGUCGUUUGAAGCCGAGCUCCAUCUCCCUCCGAAAUUCCGAAGACUAUACGGCCACGGAGGAAAAAUCCUGGACUCCCGAGGAUUUAACGAGAUCGGUAACGAGAAACUGGAGAGAGAGCGGUCCUCGGAACCAUUCCGAAACACAGACCUGAAGAUUAGCCAGGCUCCACAAGUCAGCAUCAGUCGCAGCAAGUCCUACAAGGUGAACUUCAGUUUGGCCAAAGCUCAAGGGGACAACGCGCCCAACCUGCCCGACUCCCCGGGGUUGGAGUCGGCGGAAGGGGCCGAGGGCGCCGCGAAAGAGGACGCGGUGGAAGGUGACCUGUCCCCGAAGCUAGUGGAGGAAGCUCAGACAGACGUGGACGUGAAGGACUGCGAGGACAGUUUGUGUUUGUCGGCCGGCAGUGACUCUGAGGAAGGAAUGCUAAAGAGAAAGCAGCGGCGGUAUAGGACUACAUUCACCAGCUACCAGCUGGAAGAACUAGAGAGGGCUUUUCAGAAAACUCACUACCCUGAUGUCUUCACCAGGGAGGAACUGGCAAUGCGGCUCGAUUUGACUGAAGCCCGGGUGCAAGUUUGGUUUCAGAACCGCAGAGCCAAAUGGCGAAAGCGAGAGAAAGCCGGAGCGCAGAACCAUCCCGGAGGCCUGCAGUUCCCCAGUCCCCUGGGAGCCGGCCACCCGUUGGGACCUUACCUUGACACCAGUCCCUUCGGACACCACCCGAGCCUCGAGUCCGCCUGGUCAGCCGCCGCUGCUGCUGCCGCCGCCGCCGCCGCCUUCCCCGGCCUCCCACCCCCACCUGGCGCGGCGGCUCUCUCUCCCGGUGGAGCCCCGUUGGGCCUCGGCACCUUCCUGGGAGCGGCGAUGUUCAGGCAUCCUUUCAUCGCCCCGCACUUCGGCAGGUUUUGGACCACAAGCGGAUCAAGGACAGGACAAUCAGAGGAGUUGUUCGAAGUCCCGUCCCACUGCUACAAUGCACCCGAGUCAAGAAAACUGCUGCAAAGUUUUAUUCUUAUUUAGAAAUUCCUUUUUUGGUUCACGCCUUCUCACCUUUGGUGUUUUCUUUCUGCUUUUCAUCACCGCAUUCAUCUCGUUUGGAUGGAGUUCAAGACUCGAUUCUUCCUAUCAUAUUCCUGUCACCAGUCUGAAGCUCAUAUUUAUUCUUCCAACACAUUGGUAACCAUUGUAUUUUACUAGUUCCAUUUUAUAAAGCACUUUGAGACAUUAUCUGCAUGUUAAGUGCUACUUAAGUACAAGUUGUUUUCUCCAAAUCUCAGCUAUCCUUUGAGACGGAUGCAUAGAGUACUCCUCAUGAAAAUUGGUAUGCAUCAUUAUCUGCCCAUUUGUAAUAAACCAAAGGUGAAGUCUAUGAUUAUUUUAUGAAUCCAUCGAACACCCAUAACGCAUGGAUCAUUCAGGGGGACGAGGAAAAAUAAGGGGUGAUUAACUGUUGAUGCCAUAGAAUAGGAGCAGGUUUUUAAAGUAGCAGGAAGGAAAGUUUAGGUAGAGUACAUGAGUGAUUAGACCCUUAAAGACCACUGGUGUGAAGAUCAGGAAGAUAAGCCAGUCUGAAGAAUAAACUACAUGGGGGCACAGGAGGUUUGUGGGCAGUUUAAAGAGUAGAAGAAGUUGUACGUUUGCCAAUUCCUCCAAUCAAUUUAAAAGUUGAGGGUAUGAAAUUAAAUUUUGUUGUGCUAGGAUUUAAAGGUAUUUCUGGAGCUGCUCUAUGAACUGCUUCAGAUCCCAGCAUCUGCUGUCUCUGCUUUAUGGAGUAAAUGUCCGCUGUUUCUAUUACUACAACAACUUGCUUUUCCAUAUGCCCUCAUAAAAUAGAAUACAACGUGAAGGAAACCAAUGGCAACUGAAAGGAGGAGAAACCAGGUGAGCGUUUGAAUCAGUGAGAUACAGGAUAUAGAUCAGUUGGAUAGGUGGAUAAAGGAAUGGCAAAUGAAAUGGAACUCGAGACAAGUGUUAGGUGCUGUGAUUUGGAAUGGCAAACUAGAGCAGAACUUACACAGUCAAUGGUGGAGCCCUGGAAAAUGUUGCUAGACAGGGAGAUCUGGGCGUACAGGCUCGUGGUUGCCUGAAAAUGACGUGUCAGGUGGACAAGGUGGUGAAGAAGGCGUUCUUGCCUUCAUUGGGAAGAGUAUUGAGUUGGGACAUCAUGAUGCAGCUGCAUGAGUCGCUGGUGAGUCCACACUUGGAGUACAGUGUGCAGUUCUGAUCAGUCAGCUAUCGAAAGGAUGUCAUUAAGUUAGAAAAGGUGCAGAACAGAUUCACAGAACAGAUGUAUAAAAUCACGAGAGCAAUAGCUCGGGUAGAUGCACAGAGUCUCUUGCCCAGAUUAGGUGAAUCGAGGACCAGAGGACAUAGGUUUAUGGUGAAGGGGAAAAGAUUCAAUAGGAAUCUGAGGGGCAACCUUUUCACACAAAGGGUGGUGGGUGUAAGGAACAAGCUGCCAGAGGAGGUGGUUGAGGGAGGGACUAUCCCAACAUUUAUGAAACAGAUAGGUACAUGGAUAGGGCGGGUUUGGAGGGAUAUGGACCAAACGCGGGCAGGUGGGACUAGUGUAGCUGGGACACGUUGGUCGGUGUGGGCAAGGUGGGCCGAAGGGGCUGUUUCCACACUGUAUCAAACCAUGGCCAGAAUGUUGCCUAGGCUUGUGGGUUUGAGUUGUAGGAAGGGGCUGGAUUUCAUUGGACCACAGGAGGCUGAGCGGUGUCCUUAUCAAUGUGUACAAGAUCAUGUGGGGCACUAGAUAAUGUGAUCGCCGCUCAUGGUAAAACUAGAGGGUAUAGACUUAAGGUGAGAGGACAGAGAUUUAAGAGAGACCUUGGGCAACAUUUUCACUCAGAAGGUAGCCCAUAUCUGGAAUGAGCUGCCAGAGGAAGCUAUAUAAACAGAUACAAUUCUGGCUUUUUAAAAUAUAUUUUGACAGAUAUAUAGAUAGGAAUGGAUUGGAGAGCUAUGGGCUAAAUGCAGGCAAAUGGUACUAACUCACUUUGUUAACUAGAUUGGCACGGACAAGGUGGGCUGAAGGGCCUGGCAUCAUCAUCAUCGGCGGUCACUCGAAACGAGUAUGACUGUCUUCUUUUGGGAGGACGCUUGCGCGUGACUUUGUUUAACGUGGGGAGACUGGUACACAGACGGCCACCACAUGGUUUUUGACAGAUCUGGGUCAGGAUCCAGUGGCAUGGAGUCCAAGAUGGCCGGGGACCCUUUUUUGCUGCAGCCUUCAUCCGCCUUCCCACCGCAGUGACGAGUCUGACUAAAGUCAGUCAUCAUCCUCCGCCUGUUCCACCGUUGAUGUAAACACACACACAUAUGAACAUGCACACACCCUAACAUACACACACACAGAAAUAUGCACACGCACAGAAAUAUGCACACGCAUGCACGCACGCACACACACACACACAGAAAUAUGCACACGCACAGAAACAUGCGCACACACACACACCAACACACACACACCAACAAAUAUAGGAUCACAAAGCAUUGACGUUCUGCAGUCAACACAAAGAGUUGAUAUUGGAUGCUGCAGGUAGUCCACCAAAGAGCCCACGGUACCACUCAAUACAGAUAGAUAAUGGGAUGUAAAUGUUCCAUUUAGUCAUCUUGCAUGUCCCAAGCAAAGAUUUAGAGUGGUGCCCUGGGGGCCUGUAUACAUACUGCAUAAUUCUACGAUUCUAUAGGGGUGGGGUUUCAUGAAUCUCCUCCGCAUGUGCAAAAAUACAAAAUAAAUGUUAGUUAUAACCAUAACUUUAACUCCAGGCUAUAUCCAUACCUCUCUGAAUAAAAUAUAACCUGUAAUAAAAUUAUAUUCUCUAUGCUUACUAAGUACAGGCUUUAAAUAUACAGUAACCUUGCAUAACCUGCAACAGCAUCUUAUUUCUAAAGCCUCUAAGAACAAGCUGGCUUGAAAUUGUGUAUGACUGUAACCAGGUUCAGAGAGAGGUGCCUCACUUGAUAAGUGCAGUAGUAACUGUUGCUUUACAGAUUACUGCUCAAUAUCCAUCUGAGUCACGGACGUGAAUCUCCAACAAGCAGUAUCACUGCAUGACUUCAUGCUCUGGAACACAUUUGUGCAUUUAUUCAGAUCAAUAUAAAGAUGUUUUUUACCUAUGCAAAUUUGGAAAUGCUCCCUGUACUGCUCUGCGUUGGAAACUUGUUGAUGUAGCAGGUUUGUCUGAAGAAGGAUGGAUGCUGCUUGCCCCGCUGGGUGACUCCAGCACUUUGAGUCUUUCCGAUGAAGCAGGUGAGAAGUAUUUGGGAAUUUUCCCAAUAUAUUAUUGAACAAACUUAAUAUCCCAUUCAACAAAUCAUGAAGAGGAAGUCUGAUGAUGCAAAUUAAUUGAUCAUCAGUUUCAGAUGUGAGAAAAGCUAAGAUAUAUAUACUUUUUGUUAGAAAAUUGUGGAGGUAAACAUCAGAUUGGAUUGUUGAUGUCUUCACAACUGCUUGUGGAUCAUAACAGUGUCCCUCUCUUUGGGAGGGUCUAGAUGUAUGUUGCAUCCUCUAGAUUCUGAUACCUGGAAGUAGCAGCAACUUCGCACAAAAUACUUGAAAUUGGGAACAUACCAAAGCAACAAAAUGCUGUAGUAACUCAACAAGCCAGGCAGCAUCUUUGGAGAACAUGGACAAGCGACAUUUCAAGAUUCAUUCAUCUGAUGAAAGGUCCCAAUCCAAAACAUUGCCCUAACCAUGUUCUCCAGAGAUGCUGCCUGACCCACUGAGUUACUCCAGCACUUUGUGUGUUUUUUUGGCAAACCAGCAUCUACAGUUCCUUGUGUCUCCAAAUACUAAGCAAUUACUACUUUUCCUGUGCGGCAUUCAGAAAUGUAUGUAUUUGCAUCUUUCUUCUCGUGUCUCACUGCAGACGAUACAAAGUCGAAGCGGUGAAGUAUUUUACAGAUGUUAUUUCAUUCAGUGCAUUCUGCCGUGGAUUGGAAAUGUUUUACAGCACCAGUUAAAGAAUGAAAGGUGAAUAGAAUGAUAGGUGAUAAAAGACUUUAAUGUUUUUUCCAACAUAUCUCCCCUCAACCAAUUUCAUUCCACAACAUAUUAUCUGUCUAUCUCGCUGCUGCUUGAGCAAACUUGCUGUACAUUAAUUGGGUGCCAGAUUGCUCAUAAUACAAUUAAGGGCCUGCCCCACGAGCAUGCGACCUGCAUGCGGCAAGCGCAACCAAACCGGAAGCGCGGGCCAUGCAGAGGUCGAGUGCUGCGAGGAACUCCAUACGGCUCUGGCAAUCGAAGUGGGACUGGCCCCGCGAGGCCGUAAGGCUCAAGCGCGACCUAAUGUGGUCGCACAUUAGGUCGCGCUUGCCGCAUGGAGUCGUAUGCUCGUGGGACAAGCCAUUUAGUGACUCCUCACAUUUAGCUUUAAUUUCCAAGACUGGAAUAUAUAUAUAUAUACUGCAUUUCGUUGUCUCUGUACUGUACACUGACAAUGACAAUUAAAGUUGAAUCUGAAUCUGAAUCUGAUAUAAAACCACAGUUUUAUUCUUUCACUUUGAAACUUUAUAUUGACCUUAACCACAUUCAACUGGAACAGAUACAUGCAAAACCUUGCUGUUUGUAGAAGGGUCCCGACCCAAAACGUUACUUAUUCAUUUUCUAGAGUUGCUGCCUGACCGACUGGAUAACAUUUUGUCUAUCUCUGGUAUAAACCAGCAUCUGCAUUUCCGUUUUAUUACAUGCGGAACUUUCUUUGGUUCCCCAAUAGCACAAAUACAAAGCAUCGAUUUUUAAAACUUUUUCCUACUUGUGUGGAAAUUCAAAAACGUAUAUGCACGUGAUGAAAAUUAAUCUUUACAAUGGAUGAAAAUGAACCUUGUUCCAGUAACUGUGGUCAAUCAAGAUUUCUCCUAAGUUUGGGAGUAAGAGUUGCUAUGUCUACUUACUAAAGUGUUGAGUUGUUUUAUACAACAGAUCCAGCAUUACUAAUAAUGACAAUUAUUUAACCAUAAAAUAUUUUUAAGAGCAUAAAUGUCUUCUUUUUGAAUCUUGAACGUCGGAGCACAACUGACUGUUUAAAAUCAAUUCAUGAUUGAGGGAUUAAAUUGUAUUAAUUCUUAUUGUACAAAAUGCUUAAGAAAUUAAA